GACGAACGCUGGCGGCGUGCUUAACACAUGCAAGUCGAACGGAAAGGCCCCUUUGGGGGUGCUCGAGUGGCGAACGGGUGAGUAACACGUGAGUAACCUGCCCUUGACUUCGGGAUAACUUCAGGAAACUGGGGCUAAUACCGGAUAGGAAUCCUUGCGGCAUGGUGGGGGUUGGAAAGCUUCGGCGGUUUUGGAUGGACUCGCGGCUUAUCAGCUUGUGGGUGGGGUAGUGGCUUACCAAGGCUUUGACGGGUAGCCGGCCUGGGAGGGCGACCGGCCACAUUGGGACUGAGAUACGGCCCAGACGCCUACGGGAGGCAGCAGUGGGGAAUAUUGCACAAUGGGCGGCAGCCUGAUGCAGCAACGCCGCGUGCGGGAUGACGGCCUUCGGGUUGUAAACCGCUUUCAGCAGGGGCGAAGCUUGUGGUGACGGUACCUGCAGAAGAAGCACCGGCUAACUACGUG
rnacentral:rRNA from 1 species